rnacentral:rRNA from 1 species
GACGUAGGGCGCGAGCGUUGUCCGGAUUUAUUGGGCGUAAAGAGCUCGUAGGCGGCUCUCGUUGCGUCGGCUGUGAAAACCCGCAGCUCAACUGUGGGCUUGCAGCUGAUACGGGCGGGCUGGAGUUCGGUAGGGGAGACUGGAAUUCCUGGUGUAGCGGUGAAAUGCGCAGAUAUCAGGAGGAACACCGGUGGCGAAGGCGGGUCUCUGGGCCGAUACUGACGCUGAGGAGCGAAAGCGUGGGGAGCGAACAGG